CGUUAAAGUCAACAGUUUUAGACUUGGAGACAAAAGAAGAGGCAAAAAAUGGACUACUAAAGACAUUAAAAAGACUAAACAUCCCACUCAAAGGCGUAAAUGUGUUUUAUGCUACUUUAAGUAAACGUGAUUUG